CAGGGAUGUCAGGUUCUCAGAUUUUGGGGCACCGCAGACACCAAUGAAUGCAGUGGAAGACUUGUUUGUAUGGGACCUACUCCAGCCAAUCAGUCUUCUUAGCUUCUGUUAGAACUGCCUACUUCAAACUUAUUCAAACCUACUUCAAGCUCCUUACUCUUUGAAGACACUCACUGCUCAUGCUACUACAAAGCUACCAGGGUCAUGUCUGGACAAGGGCUCCACUUUUAAAACACCAUAUUCUGGACACUUGGGACCAUAGCCAGGUCUCUGAAGACUUGGAUGAAACCCCAGACAGUUGGAAUACAAUCCUAAUUGGCAAUACACCAUGUCUGAGUGGUCAUCUCUGCUGAGCUUCCCAGAACAGUGAAGAAAUGCCUACGUGCAUCGAUUUAUAAAAAUAAAUAUGAACAAGG
rnacentral:lncRNA from 1 species